rnacentral:rRNA from 1 species
CUGAAACUCAACGGAAUUGUCGGGCUUCCUCACAAGCAGCGGGACAUGUGGAUUAAUUAGACGCAACGCGCAGAACUGGCCCUGGGUUUGACAUAAUUGCGGAAAUUUCUGAGAGGAAGCGUUCCUUCGGGACGUGGUCACAGUAGUUGCAUGGCGGUUGUUAGUUGGUGUCCUUCGAUCUUGGGUCAAGUCAAGCAACGAGUGCAACCCUUAUCCGUAGUUACCAGCAGGGUGAGGCUGGGGACUAUACGGGGACCUCCGGUGUGAAGCCGGAGGAAGGUGGGGAUGACGUCAAGUCCUCAUGGCCCUUACGCCCAGGGGUGCACACGUGCUACAACACCAAGGACCGCUGGUGGCGACCGUAGGAGUGGGACCGAAUCAUGAAACGAUGUGGCACAUGGGACUGGAGUAGGCAACUAGCCUCCCUUAAGGUGGGAGGUCUUGUAAUCGUGGAUCUGCAUUCCGCGGGGAAUACGUUUCUGGGCGGUGGGCACACCGCCCGUCACAACACGAAAGUUGGGUGUACUGCGAAGUUGCCGGAGACACCAGCGAGGGAGGCAGGCGCAGAAGGUAUGACCAGAGCGUUCAUCGAAGUCCUA